AUAAAAUUAGUUAAUAUAUAACAUUAAAAUGUCAUUUUAAAAUAAUUAAUAAAAUUAAUAUUUUUUA
rnacentral:tRNA from 1 species